CAAGGCGACGAUCCCUAGCUGGUCUGAGAGGAUGACCAGCCACACUGGAACUGAGACACGGUCCAGACUCCUACGGGAGGCAGCAGUGGGGAAUAUUGCACAAUGGGCGCAAGCCUGAUGCAGCCAUGCCGCGUGUAUGAAGAAGGCCUUCGGGUUGUAAAGUACUUUCAGCGGGGAGGAAGGUGUUGUGGUUAAUAACCGCAGC
rnacentral:rRNA from 1 species